ACCGAAUAGAUACCCGGGUAGUCCUGGCCAUAAACGAUGUCCACUAGAUCGUGGCCGCUCUGACGCGGUCAUGGUCGAAAGCAAAAGUGCUAAGUGGACCGCCUGGGAAGUACGGUCGCAAGGCUAAAACUCAAAGGAAUUGACGGGGGCGUCACACAAGCGGUGGAGCAUGUGGUUCAAUUCGAAGCAACGCGCAGAACCUUACCUGGGCUUGACAUGCCAGGAUUAUCCCUAUGAAAGUAGGGUAGGCCCUUCGGGUACGAACUGGUACAGGUGCUGCAUGGCUGUCGUCAGCUCGUGUCGUGAGAUGUCGGG
rnacentral:rRNA from 1 species